GUCUUUUUGAUUAUAAUAUAAAGUCUAAUCUGCCCACUGAUUUUUUAAAGGGCCGCAGUAAUUUGACUGUGCAAAGGUAGCAUAAUAAUUAGUUUCUUAAUUAGAAGCUGGAAUGAAUGAUUGAACGAAAAAUUAUCUGUCUCUAUUUAUAAAUUAAAAUUUUAUUUUUAAGUUAAAAAGCUUAAAUAAAUUAAAAAGACGAGAAGACCCUAUAGAGUUUAAUAUUUAAUUUAUUUUAUAUAAUAGAAUUUUUUUAUUUAAAUUAAUUAUUUAAUUGGGGUGAUUAGUAAAUUUAAUAAACUUUAUUUAUUUUAAAUCAUUAAUUUAUGAAUUUUUGAUCCAUUGAUAUUUGAUUAUAAGAAAAAAUUACCUUAGGGAUAACAGCGUUAUUUUUUUUGAAAGUUCCUAUUGAAAAAAAAGUUUGCGACCUCGAUGUUGGAUUAAAAUAAAUUUUUGGUGUAGAAGCUAAAAUAUUAGGUCUGUUCGACCUUUAAAAUUUUACAUGAUCUGAGUUUAAACCGGUGUGAGCCAGGUUGGUUUCUAUCUUUUAAAUAUAUAAUAUUUUAGUACGAAAGGACCGAAUGUUAUUAAUAUUUAAUUUAUUUGAAUA
rnacentral:rRNA from 1 species